GUAGGUGGCAAGCGUUGUCCGGAAUUAUUGGGCGUAAAGGGCUCGCAGGCGGUUUCUUAAGUCUGAUGUGAAAGCCCCCGGCUCAACCGGGGAGGGUCAUUGGAAACUGGGGAACUUGAGUGCAGAAGAGGAGAGUGGAAUUCCACGUGUAGCGGUGAAAUGCGUAGAGAUGUGGAGGAACACCAGUGGCGAAGGCGACUCUCUGGUCUGUAACUGACGCUGAGGAGCGAAAGCGUGGGGAGCGAACAGGGAUUAGAUACCCUGGUAGUCCACGCCGUAAACGAUGAGUGCUAAGUGUUAGGGGGUUUCCGCCCCCUUAGUGCUGCAGCUAACGCAUUAAGCACUCCGCCUGGGGAUACGGUCGCAAGACUG
rnacentral:rRNA from 1 species